rnacentral:rRNA from 1 species
UACGGGGGAGCAAGCGUUGUUCGGAUUUACUGGGCGUAAAGGGCGCGUAGGCGGCGCAACAAGUCACUUGUGAAAUCUCCGGGCUUAACCCGGAGCGGUCAAGUGAUACUGUCGUGCUAGAGUGGCGGAAGGGGCUACUGGAAUUCUCGGUGUAGCGGUGAAAUGCGUAGAUAUCGAGAGGAACACCUGGCGGGCGAAGGCGGGUAGCUGGGCCGACACUGA